rnacentral:rRNA from 1 species
GUGCCAGCAGCCGCGGUAAUACAGAGACUGCAAGCGUUGUUCGGAUUCAUUGGGCGUAAAGGGUGCGCAGGCGGUGUGCUAAGUCGGAUGUGAAAUCUCACAGCCUAACUGUGAUAGGUCAUUCGAAACUGGCAUGCUAGAGGACUGGAGAGGAGACUGGAAUGGUCGGUGUAGCGGUGAAAUGCGUAGAGAUCGACCAGAACACCGGUGGCGAAGGCGGGUCUCUGGACAGUUCCUGACGCUCAGGCACGAAAGCCAGGGGAGCAAACGGGAUUAGAAACCCUCGUAGUCC